AGCAGCGUGGCAUAGUAGUCUGAGUGUUGGACUACAACUCUGGAGACCAGAGUUCGAUUCCCCGCUUGGCCA